rnacentral:rRNA from 1 species
AUUGAACGCUGGCAGCAGGCUUAACACAUGCAAGUCGAGCGGGGGAAGGUAGCUUGCUACCGGACCUAGCGGCGGACGGGUGAGUAAUGCUUAGGAAUCUGCCUAUUAGUGGGGGACAACAUCUCGAAAGGGAUGCUAAUACCGCAUACGUCCUACGGGAGAAAGCAGGGGAUCUUCGGACCUUGCGCUAAUAGAUGAGCCUAAGUCGGAUUAGCUAGUUGGUGGGGUAAAGGCCUACCAAGGCGACGAUCUGUAGCGGGUCUGAGAGGAUGAGCCGCCACACUGGGACGGAGACACGGCCCAGACUCCUACGGGAGGCAGCAGUGGGGAAUAUUGGACAAUGGGGGGAACCCUGAUCCAGCCAUGCCGCGUGUGUGAAGAAGGCCUUAUGGUUGUAAAGCACUUUAAGCGAGGAGGAGGCUACUCUAGUUAAUACCUAGGGAUAGUGGACGUUACUCGCAGAAUAAGCACCGGCUAACUCUGUGCCAGCAGCCGCAGUAA